CACAUACAUUUUUCGAUUUACAAGAUAUUUUUAUAUUUAUGAUUCCAAAACUUUUAGCAACUCAGGUGUUGAUUGAUCUAUAUAAUUGAGAUUUAUUUGUUGCCUCAAAAGCAGAUAGUUCGAAACAUGGCUCAUGCCUUGGCUACAGCACUCACAAGGGAACUUGUGGGAAAUACAAGCUCUCCCUCAACAAGUUCAUGCCCUAAUAUCGGCAACAAUUCUGGCCCUUUGGCUUCAAAUUCUUCAACACGGGUCAACCAGGCAUUAAAACGGUAAGAUUUGAAUUUCUUUUUAAAAUUGGAAACGAAGUAGAUAACAGUUAUGUAUUUAUUUCAUAUAUGUUUUUUCAUUGUUGUUGUUUUUUUAUUUUAUGGACUCUUCCUUGACUGGAUGUUUUGUCUCAAAAUAUUAUUAUUAUCUUUAUUCUCAAAGGCAAUUUCCAAAUCUGUUUCAAAAGUCAGACCUGAAAAAAGGCAAACAGAGGAUUAUCGCCUCAACUCGUUCUACAAAAAUCUCCAACAUUGGAAUAUACGUAUUGCCAGGCCCCACCAAUCUAACCCCCAAAAAUUCUGAUGAGUUUCACUUAGCACAUGCAGGGUUAAGGAGAAGGGUGCUUUCUUUUUCUGACGACAGCAGGCAUGAGGAGAUUGUCAGUCAGUUGGAGGACGAGUUUAUCAAACUUAAACAACUGAAGGGAAGAUGGAUGUUCCAUAAAGCAUCAGGUGGAGGUGGUCAAAGGAAAUUGUCAAUAAUCCCAAUGGAUGCUGAGGGGUACAGCGGCAAGCUGCUUCAAAUAAUGGGAAAAUAGUCCU